AUUGAACGCUGGCGGCAUGCCUUACACAUGCAAGUCGAACGGCAGCACGGGUGCUUGCACCUGGUGGCGAGUGGCGAACGGGUGAGUAAUAUAUCGGAACGUACCUUAUUGUGGGGGAUAACGCAGCGAAAGCUGUGCUAAUACCGCAUAAUCCCUUAGGGGGAAAGCGGGGGACCGUAAGGCCUCGCGCAAUUAGAGCGGCCGAUACCUGAUUAGCUAGUUGGUGAGGUAAAGGCUCACCAAGGCGACGAUCAGUAGCUGGUCUGAGAGGACGAUCAGCCACACUGGGACUGAGACACGGCCCAGACUCCUACGGGAGGCAGCGGUGGGGAAUUUUGGACAAUGGGGGCAACCCUGAUCCAGCAAUGCCGCGUGAGUGAAGAAGGCCUUCGGGUUGUAAAGCUCUUUUGUCAGGGAGGAAACAGCAGCUCUAACACAGUAUGCGAAUGACGGUACCUGAAGAAUAAGCACCGGCUAACUACGUGCCAGCCGCCGCCGUAA
rnacentral:rRNA from 1 species